CCCAGGAAAAAGUCCUUGUGUCGAAGAGCUUGCCAAGCAUUCAUCUCAUCUUCUGGAAGAAGAGCUACAGAUGGGUUCUGCGACAAGAAGAAAUAACCCUUCGUGACUGGAAGCUGGUUAGGAAAUGGAAUGGAACGUUCCAAGGGAAUGCAAACACCCCUAACAAGAGAAAACUUGUAUUUGUUCCUAAACCCAUUGCAUGGAUUUCGCUCCCUGUUUGCUUCCUUGCCCCUUGCCUGUGCAGUCUACAGAAACCCACAACCCACGUGACCCAGGAGGCGACCCCUCAUCCUGUGCCCCAUGGGUGUGACCCACGGCGUCCCCUUCCUUCCCUGGGUGGAAGGGCAAGCUGCAGCUGG